GUCAUGGACCAGUGGUGAAGAGCCUCGAGAGUGAAGGUUAAUUUUUCGAAAGGAGAAGUCCACUAUUUCAGCUUCAUCAUUCAGCCUGGAAACUGAACUGCAUCAUAAAACUUGUGCUUGAAAAGUGUCAUGGGACCCAUAUUAAGUUUCCAAAUUUGAUCUGCUGCACACAAGUAGCUUUGAAGAAGAAGGAUCCCAGCUUAAAGAAAAACACGUCACAUCCAUAAUUGUUUGACAUCAUCUUCAAGCACACCUGGAUUCCUUGUUGCAAUGUCUUCAAAACAAAUGUAAAAAUGAAAGGAUUUCAGUGGUAAACUCAUAAUGAUGGGAUCAAAAGGAAGUGAACUGGACUCUGAGGGACUUAACACAAGAUUGUGAUGGACCUAGAAUGCGACACCGUUUACGAAUAAGUCAAGAAUCAAAUGAAACACUAUUUUCCAGAGUACAGAUUAUGGAGGGGUCUGCGAAACUAAUGGAGCAGUUUCUUCUUCUUGGAGUGCCACAGCUUGUAAGUAACCAAACACUGUUACAUUGUGUGCCAAAUAGAUAUGAAAAAUCUGUGUAUAUGACAUUUUAAAGCUCAUUUGGUAAAGCAAUGCAUUAGCAAUGCCAAAUGUGUUCCAGGUCUCACAUAUUAAUAAAUGUAUAGAUUAAACACAAUCUAAGUCCCUUU